rnacentral:rRNA from 1 species
GACGAACGCUGGCGGCGUGCUUCAUACAUGCAAGUCGAACGAGAAGUUACCUUCGGGUGAUGGAAAGUGGCGGACGGGUGAGUAAUGCAUGAGCAACCUGCCUUAAAGAGGGGGAUAACACAGAGAAAUUUGUGCUAAUACCGCAUGUGCUUACGGAAUGGCAUCAUUCUGUAAGGAAAGGAGCAAUCCGCUUUAAGAUGGGCUCAUGUCUGAUUAGAUAGUUGGUGAGGUAACGGCUCACCAAGUCUACGAUCAGUAGCCGGACUGAGAGGUUGAUCGGCCACAUUGGAACUGAGAUACGGUCCAGACUCCUACGGGAGGCAGCAGUGGGGAAUAUUGGGCAAUGGGCGAAAGCCUGACCCAGCAACGCCGCGUGAAGGAAGAAGGUCUUCGGAUUGUAAACUUCUUUUAUAAGGGAAGAAAAAUGACUGUACCUUAUGAAUAAGCCACGGCUAACCACGUG